rnacentral:rRNA from 1 species
GAUGAACGCUGACAGAAUGCUUAACACAUGCAAGUCUUUGGCGAAGCUGUGCUUGCACCGCCUAGCCAAGGCGGACGGGUGAGUAACGCGUAAGGAACUUGCCCUGCAGUCAGGGAUAACAGACGGAAACGACUGAUAAGACCUGGUAAAGUCAGGCGGACUCAUGUCCAGCCUGAUGAAAAGAGAUGCUGCAGGAGAGCCUUGCGUCCUAUUAGCUUGUUGGUGGGGUAACGGCCCACCAAGGCGAUGAUAGGUAGCCGGCCUGAGAGGGUGGACGGCCGCAAGGGGACUGAGAUACGGCCCUUACUCCUACGGGAGGCAGCAGUGGGGAAUAUUGGACAAUGGGGGCAACCCUGAUCCAGCAAUUCUGUGUGCACGAUGAAGGUUUUCGGAUUGUAAAGUGCUUUCAGCAGGGAAGAAAAAAAUGACGGUACCUGCAGAAGAAGCGACGGCUAAAUACGUG